rnacentral:precursor_RNA from 1 species
UUUAGUUCAGCAUAAAGUUUGGAUUUUGGUUGAAAUUAGAGAUGAUGUGACUGAAAAAUUGUGUGUGUAUGACAGGUUGAUGUGAUGGAAAAGGACUGAAGUUUGGAUCCAAACUUUGGAUCUAAACACAGCCUUGAUUGUUGAGGUGCAACCAUUAGGAGCUGAAGCUGCCAGCAUGAUCUGAUGAGUGCUUAUUAGGUGAGGGCAGAAUUGACUGCCAAAACAAAGAUCAGAUCAUGCUGUGCAGUUUCAUCUGCUUGUGGCUGCACAAAAUUAAAGGGCCAGAUUGUAUUCAUAUAUAUAUGUUGGUGUGAGGCUUACAUGCAAAUUUAUAUAUUCUUCUGUGUGCAGAUUUUAAUCUUGCAGGAUCGAUCAAAUCUUAGAUGUUUUGUUUGGGAGCUGAGCAUCCAUGAAUUAAUUGGAGAUCAAAUGAGCAAGAGUCAAGAACUGAGGAUGAAACAGGUAUGAAGAUCACAUGAGCUAGCAAGCCAAGAUCUGAAGAUGAACAGGUGUGAGAGACUAAUAAGGAGUUCUUUCUUUGCAUCAUCAACAUAUAUAAUGAAUGGUUAUUAUCUAAAAAUAUAUAUAUAUAAUGAAUAGUUAGUUUCUUCCAACUU